GAUGAACGCUGGCGGCAUGCCUAAUACAUGCAAGUCGAGCGAACAGACGAGGAGCUUGCUCCUCUGACGUUAGCGGCGGACGGGUGAGUAACACGUGGAUAACCUACCUAUAAGACUGGGAUAACUUCGGGAAACCGGAGCUAAUACCGGAUAACAUGUUGAACCGCAUGGUUCAACAGUGAAAGACGGUUUUGCUGUCGGUUAUGGAUGGAUCUGCGGCGUAUUAGCUAGUUGGUGAGGUAACGGAUUCCCAAGGCGACGACGGGUAGCCGACCUGAGAGGGUGACCGGCCACACGGGGACUGAGAAACGGGCCAGACUGCUACGGGAGGGAGCAGUGGGGAAUAGUGCACAAUGGGCGAAAGCCUGAUGCAGCAACGCAGCGUGAGGGACGACGGCCUUCGGGUUGUAAACAUCUUUUAGCAGGGAAGAAGCGAAAGUGACGGUACCUGCAGAAAAAGCACCGGCUAACUACGUG
rnacentral:rRNA from 1 species